rnacentral:tRNA from 1 species
CAGGGUAGUCUAAUGAAGGAUGUAAGCUUUGGGGGUUUGAGGUCUCUUAUGAUGAGUCGGCUGA